CUACCCUCUAGCUCAAAUUCAUCCCUGACACCCACCAUUAAGUCUGAUCAGGAUAGAUCUGUUCAGGUGAAUCACAUUCUUACCAAACCAUUUUCAGCUGCCUCUUUCGGUUACGGUCGAAGUUGGGUGUCUAUUCUCCCUCUUGAGCUAGUUGACUUUGUUGAAAUUCUUGGAAAUGCAGCAUCCAAGAGUCCAUGCAACAAUUUAACUAGUCCUGCAAUUGCUUACCAUAAAACAGCUAUUUUUCAACAGCUUUUGUUGCAAGAAAAUAAGCUGCUUAUAAACAACGUGUUUAUCUUGUAAUUCUUGUUUGAGUUGUGUUUUCUAUCACUAACCAAAGCCUCCCUUCACCUUUGAAUCCAUACGACACCUUCCAUCUUUGCUUGAAGCCGCCAUUAAUUGCACCAUCCUCCAACACUUUCAGCUAAGCCACAAGCAAGCCUGCCCUCCAUUUUAACACACCCUUGAGCCAAUCCAACCCUUCAGUUUCCUUCUAUCACCCGUAACCCUCUCCGUCACACACUCGCUACCUCACUUUUGACUAGGAUCAACCUUCCAUCGUCAUCCUACAUCGAACAAUACCCUCACCGAAGUCCCCCAUUCUCCAUCUCUAAACGCGCUGAAAGGAUAAUGGAAAUGAAGCAAAGAAAUAGAACUGAGAAAGGAUGUAUUUUGACUUAAAAGAAAGAGAGAUGAAAGUUUCAACAAAGAAAAAAGAAAGGAUUCUUUUAUUCAAAAAGAUGAUCUGCUGUGAACAAAAUGGCAGGUGAUAGAGAAUGACACUUUCUUUGAACAACCCGCGUGGAGCUCAACAGGAGCAGACCAGGCCCGACCUGACCUGGUGAGGAGCGGCGCAACCACUAGUGAAGAACAGUUUCAACAAGGACUACGGCCCAAAGUUUUGGACUAUUGAUGAAAAUGGCUUAUGGCUUAUGGUGACGUCGAGUACUUAUUAGAAAA